GGAAAUGCAGGGACGUAUGAAUAUUCAGCCAUUGCACAAGCAUUUGCUGAGUGCCGGCCCUGUGCCAGCAAGGCUGUUGGGGCAGGGCAGGCAGUUGGGAAUGAAGGCCCCCUGCCAUCCCGGUGGAGCCUACGGUCUUUUUGGGAAAGCGAAAGCGGAGACAAAGGUGAGAGGACCUGCUGAACUUACUGGGGAAAAAGCAAAAAACCAGUCAGGGGAGAAAAUGAUGAUGGAAAGAAGAAACUCCCUCCUCCCCAAACAACCGGUAGGCUUCUGAUUAGAGUCUCUGGGAUCUGAAAGCAUGUAAGGUUCAACACAUCCUCGACAAAGCUGGAUAUUCAUACAGUGGUUACUUUUGGGCCUUCCAGGCGAGCAACAGGAGGGAUGAAGGUUUUCACAAUAAAUUGUUAAUCUGCCCACUUGAGGAUGUGAAGGAGCCUGUGAAGUUGGCAUCAAACCAUGCUUCCAUUCUUCUGGGUAUUUCAAGCAAAGACUGUACUCAAGAGUCUUAGUAAUGCAAGCACGGCUAUGUACGACUACUUUCAAAACUUGAGUGCAUAAAGGCAAGCCAGGGAUCUCUGCUGAGCCUGGACCCUGCGCAGAACCGAUGAACUGAAUGCAAACCAGGGUUUGGUGCGGGCGUGAAGCAGCUCCCUCUGAGCCUUCCUCCAGAAUCUCAAUAAGGUACACCUGUGCAGACAGACGUCAGCCCUGAGUUGCUUCAAAAAGAGAGCUGAUCAUAACUAACACAUCCUGAGUGCUUACUGUGUGCUAGGCACAUUAGGUAGACCACCAGCACCUUAUU